GAAGGUGGCCUGUGAGGGUUGCUGGAGGUAUCAGAAGUGCGAAUGCUGACAUAAGUAACGAUAAAGCGGGUGAAAAGCCCGCUCGCCGGAAGACCAAGGGUUCCUGUCCAACGUUAAUCGGGGCAGGGUGAGUCGACCCCUAAGGCGAGGCCGAAAGGCGUAGUCGAUGGGAAACGGGUUAAUAUUCCCGUACUUGGUGUUACUGCGAAGGGGGGACGGAGAAGGCUAUGUUGGCCGGGCGACGGUUGUCCCGGUUUAAGCGUGUAGGUGUGUGUUCCAGGUAAAUCCGGUUCACUUUAACACUGAGGCGUGAUGACGAGGCACUACGGUGCUGAAGCAACAAAUGCCCUGCUUCCAGGAAAAGCCUCUAAGCAUCAGGUAACAUCAAAUCGUACCCCAAACCGACACAGGUGGUCAGGUAGAGAAUACCAAGGCGCUUGAGAGAACUCGGGUGAAGGAACUAGGCAAAAUGGUGCCGUAACUUCGGGAGAAGGCACGCUGACACGUAGGUGAAGUGAUUUACUCAUGGAGCUGAAGUCAGUCGAAGAUACCAGCUGGCUGCAACUGUUUAUUAAAAACACAGCACUGUGCAAACACGAAAGUGGACGUAUACGGUGUGACGCCUGCCCGGUGCCGGAAGGUUAAUUGAUGGGGUCAGCGCAAGCGAAGCUCCUGAUCGAAGCCCCGGUAAACGGCGGCCGUAACUAUAACGGUCCUAAGGUAGCGAAAUUCCUUGUCGGGUAAGUUCCGACCUGCACGAAUGGCGUAAUGAUGGCCAGGCUGUCUCCACCCGAGACUCAGUGAAAUUGAACUCGCUGUGAAGAUGCAGUGUACCCGCGGCAAGACGGAAAGACCCCGUGAACCUUUACUAUAGCUUGACACUGAACAUUGAGCCUUGAUGUGUAGGAUAGGUGGGAGGCUUUGAAGUGUGGACGCCAGUCUGCAUGGAGCCGACCUUGAAAUACCACCCUUUAAUGUUUGAUGUUCUAACGUGGACCCGUGAUCCGGGUUGCGGACAGUGUCUGGUGGGUAGUUUGACUGGGGCGGUCUCCUCCUAAAGAGUAACGGAGGAGCACGAAGGUUGGCUAAUCCUGGUCGGACAUCAGGAGGUUAGUGCAAUGGCAUAAGCCAGCUUGACUGCGAGCGUGACGGCGCGAGCAGGUGCGAAAGCAGGUCAUAGUGAUCCGGUGGUUCUGAAUGGAAGGGCCAUCGCUCAACGGAUAAAAGGUACUCCGGGGAUAACAGGCUGAUACCGCCCAAGAGUUCAUAUCGACGGCGGUGUUUGGCACCUCGAUGUCGGCUCAUCACAUCCUGGGGCUGAAGUAGGUCCCAAGGGUAUGGCUGUUCGCCAUUUAAAGUGGUACGCGAGCUGGGUUUAGAACGUCGUGAGACAGUUCGGUCCCUAUCUGCCGUGGGCGCUGGAGAACUGAGGGGGGCUGCUCCUAGUACGAGAGGACCGGAGUGGACGCAUCACUGGUGUUCGGGUUGUCAUGCCAAUGGCACUGCCCGGUAGCUAAAUGCGGAAGAGAUAAGUGCUGAAAGCAUCUAAGCACGAAACUUGCCCCGAGAUGAGUUCUCCCUGAGACUU
rnacentral:rRNA from 1 species